UGAAUUACAAUUGGAAUUUUUUUAAAUGACAUUAGAUGCUAAAAAUUAUUGGAGUAACAAAUAAAUGAAAAAUAGAAAGAAAAAAAACAUUGAAAAGAAAAAAACAGAAAAAAUGAAAAGAAAUGCUGAAAACAAAAUAACAUAAAAACGAUGUUAACCUGGGUUUUGGAUCCAUGUUAAUUGUAAAGUGAAAGUCGAGCUCAACCAUUCCACCAUAGCCUCCUUUUUGCAUUUGUUUAUGAAAAUAAUUAUUAUACGUUAUAUCCACGCGACUGGUCUCACACAUGAGACUAGUUGCGCACAAGUAUUUAUGAAUGUAAAAA
rnacentral:lncRNA from 1 species